GUGCUUAUUUUGGCAGCAUAUAUACUAAAAUUGGAACAAUUCAGAGAAGAUUAGCAUGAUCUCUACACAAGGAUAACAGGAAAAUUUAUGAAGCAUUUCAUAUUUUG
ensembl:snRNA U6 U6 spliceosomal RNA